AAAAAAAAUUUUCACAGUAAGGUAUGUGCUAACUUUAAGCUGGUGCUGAAAGACUUGGCGGAUUGCUUUUUAAAGAGUUUUGAUUCUUGUGUUGCUUAGUAUUCAAAUUAUUGUAGAAAUAAUAAUUGGAAUUUAUGAUUGAAUUGAUUGUUUAUUGAUAAUUGUCUCAGUGUUGUGAAUAGACCAAUUGAAAAACGAGUGAUUUAUCGCAAGAAGAAAAAGUGUUUUUCUAUUUUUGGAUUAUCGAUUUUUAUUUGGAAAGCUAAUAGGCUAUAAAAUAUGGCAGGCGGUGGCGACCCGAAAUGGCAGAAAGAUGCUUCAGACCAGAACUUUGAUUACAUGUUUAAACUUUUGAUCAUUGGAAAUUCGAGUGUUGGCAAAACAAGCUUUUUAUUCCGUUAUGCUGAUGAUUCAUUCACAUCGGCAUUCGUAUCAACCGUUGGCAUUGACUUCAAAGUGAAAACUGUUUUUCGACAUGACAAACGAGUAAAAUUGCAGAUAUGGGUAAGUAAAUUUGCUACAGAU